rnacentral:sRNA from 1 species
GCCACCACACCCUGCCAGUACGGAGAAUCACAUUCUAACAAGGUCCUUACACAGUGGGGACAGGAACUCAGAGUGAAAUCCAUCCCAAAGAGCACAAGGCUGCCAUCGGGUGACGGAUACAUGAUGACUCAGGUGAACCGGAGGGAAAAACAGAGAUGGGAUGGAAUUCAGCCAGGCUUUGGAUGGGAAGAUUGAGCAAGGACCAAACUCCGUGGGAGAGUUGAACGCAGCGGACCUCGGGCUGGCAUGAGUGCACCCAAGCUUGCCACAGAGACCAAAAGAGAGAUCUCAGGGCUCUGGAGAGACAGAGCUGGUGUUUAUGGGAGAGGCAUUGGCAAGAAGAAACACCGGACUAGGAACAGACAGAGACCUCCAAUGCCAGUGCUUAGCCAGUUAGCAUGGUUUUUUUUUUUUUAACUACACACUACCAUGGGCCACCCAAUGUGUCUUUCUAGGGAAUUUUGAAACAGUCAUAAUUGAACAGGGAGGAAAUAGUUAAAAUUGAUUACGUAGCCAUAAUCUCAUUUGGUUGAAAUCUUUAUAAUUGUUACAAAGUUGAAGUUUUAAUUUUUUACAUUGGUAUAAAAUUUAUUUUGAUACAGAUUUAAUGUUUUCAUGGUAUGAGUUUCUUCUAUCGAUACAAAAAUUUAAGAAUGCAAAGCUUAGACGCAGUCCUUCUAUAACUACCAUUAGAAACUGUUUCUAGAUGAUUAAACAUGGAAGUUAAGGGCCAGAUAACAAA